rnacentral:rRNA from 1 species
AUUGAACGCUGGCGGCAUGCCUUACACAUGCAAGUCGAACGGUAACGCGGGGCAACCUGGCGACGAGUGGCGAACGGGUGAGUAAUGUAUCGGAACGUGCCCAGUUGUGGGGGAUAACUGCUCGAAAGAGCAGCUAAUACCGCAUACGACCUGAGGGUGAAAGCGGGGGAUCGCAAGACCUCGCGCAAUUGGAGCGGCCGAUAUCAGAUUAGGUAGUUGGUGGGGUAAAGGCCCACCAAGCCGACGAUCUGUAGCUGGUCUGGGAGGACGACCAGCCGCACUGGGACUGAGACACGGCCCAGACUCCUACGGGAGGCAGCAGUGGGGAUUUUUGGACAAUGGACGCUAGUCUGAUCCAGCCAUGCCGCGUGCGGGAAGAAGGCCUUCGGGUUGUAAACCGCUUUUGUCAGGGAAGAAAUCUUCUGGGCUAAUACCUCGGGAGGAUGACGGUACCUGAAGAAUAAGCACCGGCUAACUACGUGCCAGCGGCCGCGGUAAUAC